rnacentral:rRNA from 1 species
AUUGAACGCUGGCGGCAUGCCUUACACAUGCAAGUCGAACGGUAACGGGCCUUCGGGUGCCGACGAGUGGCGAACGGGUGAGUAAUACAUCGGAACGUGCCCGAUCGUGGGGGAUAACGAGGCGAAAGCUUUGCUAAUACCGCAUACGAUCUACGGAUGAAAGCAGGGGACCGCAAGGCCUUGCGCGGACGGAGCGGCCGAUGGCAGAUUAGGUAGUUGGUGGGAUAAAAGCUUACCAAGCCGACGAUCUGUAGCUGGUCUGAGAGGAUGAUCAGCCACACUGGGACUGAGACACGGCCCAAACUCCUACGGGAGGCAGCAGUGGGGAAUUUUGGACAAUGGGCGCAAGCCUGAUCCAGCCAUGCCGCGUGCAGGAUGAAGGCCUUCGGGUUGUAAACUGCUUUUGUACGGAACGAAAAGCCUUCUUUUAAUACAGGAGGGUCAUGACGGUACCGUAAGAAUAAGCACCGGCUAACUACGUG